GAUGAAGAACGUAGCGAAAUGCGAUAAGUAAUGUGAAUUGCAGAAUUCAGUGAAUCAUCGAAUCUUUGAACGCACAUUGCGCCCGCCAGUAUUCUGGCGGGCAUGCCUGUUCGAGCGUCAUUUCAACCAUCAAGCCCCAGGCUUGUGUUGGGGUCCUGCGGCUGCCGCAGGCCCUGAAAACCAGUGGCGGGCUCGCUGUCACACCGGGCGUAGUAGAUUUUAUCUCGCUCAGGGCGUGCUGCGGGUUCCGGCCGUUAAAAAGCCUUUUUUACCCAAGGUUGACCUCGGAUCAGGUAGGAAGACCCGCUGAACUUAAGCAUAUCAAUAAGCGGAGGA
rnacentral:misc_RNA from 1 species